AUUGAACGCUGGCGGCAGGCCUAACACAUGCAAGUCGGGCGAGUGGCGGACGGGUGAGUAAUGUAUGGGAAACUGCCUGAUGGCGGGGGAUAACUACUGGAAACGGUAGCUAAUACCGCAUACCAUCAGAUGUACCCAUAUGGGAUUAGCUUGUAGGUGAGGUAACGGCGCACCUAGGCGACGAUCCCUAGCUGGUCUGAGAGGAUGACCAGCCACACUGGAACUGAGACACGGCCCAGACUCCUACGGGAGGCAGCAGUGGGGAAUAUUGCACAAUGGGCGCAAGCCUGAGGCAGCCAUGCCGAGUGUAUGAAGAAGGCCUUCGGGUUGUAAAGUACUUUCAGUCGGGAGGCGUUACCCGCAGAAGAAGCACCGGCUAACUCCGUGCCAGCAGCCGCGGUAAUUC
rnacentral:rRNA from 1 species